CUCUCCUACGGGAGGCAGCAGUGAGGAAUAUUGGUCAAUGGGCGAGAGCCUGAACCAGCCAAGUCGCGUGAAGGAUGACGGCCCUACGGGUUGUAAACUUCUUUUGUCAGGGAGCAAUUGAGUCCACGUGUGGGCUUAGCGAGAGUACCUGAAGAAAAAGCAUCGGCUAACUCCGUGCCAGCAGACGCGGUAAUACGGAGGAUGCGAGAGUUAUCCGGAAUGAUUGGGCGUAAAGGGUGCGUAGGCGGCCUGCUAAGUCUGGAGUGAAAGGUACCGGCUCAACCGGUACAGGCUCUGGAA
rnacentral:rRNA from 1 species